rnacentral:rRNA from 1 species
CCUACGGGGCGCAGCAGUGGGGAAUAUUGCACAAUGGGGGGAACCCUGAUGCAGCGACGCCGCGUGAAGGAAGAAGUAUCUCGGUAUGUAAACUCCUAUCAGCAGGGAAGAAAGAGGACGGUACCUGACUAAGAAGCCCCGGCUAACUACGUGCCAGCAGCCGCGGUAAUACGCAGGGGGCGAGCGUUAUCCGGAUUUACUGGGUGUAAAGGGAGCGUAGGCGGCCUGGCAAGCCUGAUGUGAAAUACCGGGGCCCAACCCCGGGGCUGCAUUGGGAACGGCCAGGCUGGAGUGCCGGAGAGGCG